GCGAAGCAUUUAACAUGAAGUUCUCGGAUGGCUUUUUAACUGACUGAGCGGCGGACGGGUGAGUAACGCGUGGGUAACCUGCCUUAUACAGGGGGAUAACAGUUAUUCUUGACAGCUAAUACCGCAUAAGCGCACAGUACCGCGUGGUACAGUGUGAAAAACUCCGGUGGUAUAAGAUGGACCCGCGUCUGAUUAGCCAGUUGGCGGGGUAACGGCCCACCAAAGCGACGAUCAGUAGCCGACCUGAGAGGGUGACCGGCCACAUUGGGACUGAGACACGGCCCAAACUCCUACGGGAGGCAGCAGUGGGGAAUAUUGCACAAUGGGGGAAACCCUGAUGCAGCAACGCCGCGUGAGUGAAGAAGUAUUUCGGUAUGUGAAAGCUCUAUCAGCAGGGAAGAAGAUGACGGUACAUGAUUAAGAAGCCCCGGCUAAGUGCGUGCAAACAGCCGCGGUAAUACGUAGGGGGCAAGCGUUAUCCGGAUUUACUGGGUGUAAAGGGAGCGCAGACGGCAGGGCAAGUCCGGAGUGAAAGCCCGGGGCCCAACCCCGGAACAGCUCCGGAAACCGCGCGGCNAGAGNACNGGAGGGGCAGGCGGAACCCCNAGNGNAGCGGNGAAAUGGCGUAGACCUUAGGAAGAACACCAGUGGGGAAGGCGGGCCUUGCUGGACAGUAAUUGACGUUGGGGCUCGAAAGUGUGGGGAGCAAACAGGAUUAGAUACCUUGGUAGUCCACGCCGUAAACGAUGAAUGCUAGGUGUCGGGGAGCAAAGCUUCCCGGUGCCGCCGCAAACGCAUUAAGCAUUCCACCUGGGGAGUACGUUCGCAAGAAUGAAACUCAAAGGAAUUGACGGGGACCCGCACAAGCGGUGGAGCAUGUGGUUUAAUUCGAAGCAACGCGAAGAACCUUACCAAGUCUUGACAUCCCCCUGACCGGACCGUAACGGGUCCUUCCCUUCGGGGCAGGGGAGACAGGUGGUGCAUGGUUGUCGUCAGCUCGUGUCGUGAGAUGUUGGGUUAAGUCCCGCAACGAGCGCAACCCCUAUCCCCAGUAGCCAGCAGUAAGAUGGGCACUCUGUGGAGACUGCCAGGGACAACCUGGAGGAAGGCGGGGAUGACGUCAAAUCAUCAUGCCCCUUAUGAUUUGGGCUACACACGUGCUACAAUGGCGUAAACAGAGGGAAGCGAAGGAGCGAUCCGGAGCAAACCCCAGAAAUAACGUCCCAGUUCGGAUUGCAGGCUGCAACCCGCCUGCAUGAAGCUGGAAUCGCUAGUAAU
rnacentral:rRNA from 1 species